AAAAAGUGUAAUUUUAUACCGUCCAAUCUAAUAUUUGACCAUUUUAUCUUAUUUAAAUUAUUUUAUGAUUAUUAUUUUUAUUGUUAUUAAAUGAUAAAAUAUGAACCGUACUUUAUGUAUGACUAAUUUUUAAUAUUUUUUAUAUCUUUUUAAAUAAGACGAACCGUUAAACAUUGGGCACAGAUAGCUACGGCUGUACUUAUU
rnacentral:pre_miRNA from 1 species